CGACAUGGGUCUGUAGCUCAGCUGGUUAGAGCACCGUCUUGAUAAGGCGGGGGUCGUUGGUUCGAGCCCAACUAGACCCACCAAAUCUUCCGAACAUAAGAUGCGAGGAUCAGUGGGGGAUUAGCUCAGCUGGGAGAGCACCUGCUUUGCAAGCAGGGGGUCGUCGGUUCGAUCCCGUCAUCCUCCACCAACCAAUAUGUCCUGCGGUAGGGCAAAGAAACUAACACCAAAGCGGCUUCGCAAGAGGCCUCUUUGUUGUUGGUCCGGUAUAGACCGGGUCAAUCGGCUGUUCUUUAAAAAUUCAUAGAGUCGAAUCAGCGUUGUCGGCGGAAAGCAGGAAACUGCACCGUGCCGUCGGCAACAAAAAUUUGAUUGCGUCAAAACGAAUAUUCAAUUGAGCGAAAGCUGAUUGAAGUUCAGUAAUGACGAAUUGUUCUCUAGGUAGCAAUACCGAAGAAGAAUUCACAUUA
rnacentral:tRNA from 1 species